rnacentral:lncRNA from 1 species
CUGGUGUUCCAUAGGAAAAUAAACCAGGAAGAUAUUCCAUUGUAUCUAUACCCCGCUGGAAGAGUCACAAUGCUCUUUACAAACCCAAAAACCCCACAGUGCUGCAGUAAAGGCCACUGCUGUCCCUAGUGAACUCAGCUUUUCCAGAAUCUGCGGGCCAGACUCUUCCAUGGCACCCUGGUUAAUGAGGCAAUGGUGUUCGGGGUGGGAAUGACACUGUGAGGGCCUAAGGAGUGGGCGAGAGGUGAUGUGGAAGCAAUGGGGACAAACCAGCCUUUGGCUCUUUCCAGGUUGUUCUGCUCUGGAAGGCUAGCCAACCAAAGCUUUCUAGCAAAAGCGACUUGCUCCCACGUGCCUCUAGUGGAGGACAUGGAGACUGCCUGCGGCACAGGGGCCCAUGUUUGUACUGACUGCAGUCAACCUGCCCCCUCCCCCGGACCCCAGCUUGGUGUCAGUGUGUCCUGCAGACGGCCGCCCCCCCCAGAAUCACUUUAGGGAGCCCCAUCUUUCCCAACCAGAGAAAUUUCUCUUCACAGUCACAGCCCCUGGGUGACUACAAAUAAAAAAUAAGUAAAUGCACUCUUUCUAGAUGUG